UAGAACGAACGCUGGCGGCAAGCCUAACACAUGCAAGUCGAACGGCAGCGCGGGAAGCUUGCUUCCUGGCGGCGAGUGGCGGACGGGUGAGUAACACGUAGGAAUCUACCUUGUAGUGGGGGAUAACCCGAGGAAACUCGGGCUAAUACCGCAUAAUUUCUUCGGAACAAAACGGGGGAUCUUCGGACCUCGUGCUACAAGAUGAGCUUGCGUCGGAUUAGCUAGUUGGUAGAGGUAAUGGCCUACCAAGGCGACGAUCCGUAGCUGGUCUGAGAGGACGAUCAGCCACACUGGGACUGAGACACGGCCCAGACUCCUACGGGAGGCAGCAGUGGGGAAUAUUGGACAAUGGGGGAAACCCUGAUCCAGCAAUGCCGCGUGUGUGAAGAAGGCCUUCGGGUUGUAAAGCACUUUCAGUGGGGAAGAAAGUCUCAAGGCUAAUACCCUUGGGCGUUGACGUUACCCACAGAAGAAGCACUGGCUAACUCUGUGCCAGCAGCCGCGGUAAUACG
rnacentral:rRNA from 1 species